rnacentral:siRNA from 1 species
UAUGUCGGCCGAGUUCACACGUGC